rnacentral:lncRNA from 1 species
UGGAACUGUGGAAGCCAUUUUUCCGCUCUCCCUCUCUCUCUCCCCGUGCGCGCGCGUAGAAGGCGGUUUUUUCCUUAUUUUGGUUGAAGAACGUAAAGGACUUGGCUGUUUAUUUGGUAGAUGUAAAGGGCUUGGUUGCCGAGCUUUAUAUGGCCAUUAGGAAGGAGUGUCAGCGUCACCUCUUUUGGAGGGUUACCAGCGAGCGACAAUUUAAA